UUCCUACGGGGGGCAGCAGUGAGGAAUAUUGGUCAAUGGUCGGGAGACUGAACCAGCCAAGCCGCGUGAGGGAGGAAGGUACAGAGUAUCGUAAACCUCUUUUGUCAGGGAACAAAGACUGGGACGCGUCCCCGGAUGAGUGUACCUGAAGAAAAAGCAUCGGCUAACUCCGUGCCAGCAGCCGCGGUAAUACGGAGGAUGCGAGCGUCAUCCGGAUUUAUUGGGUUUAAAGGGUGCGUAGGCGGACGCUUAAGUCAGCGGUAAAAUUGCGGGGCUCAACCUCGUCGAGCCGUUGAAAC
rnacentral:rRNA from 1 species